UGCUGCAGCAAAGGGGUGAAGGCACAAAGAAAAAUGCUCACAUGCCUCUUGGUGUUCUUUUUGCUGCCUGGACUGGUGCUAGGUUGAAGAAAUCAGAGUAUCACAUCGCUUCUUACAAUAAGCACAAUUUGAAUGCCUGCUGUAUGCUAUUGAAUGCCUACUGGAUGCUAUUGAAUGCCUACUGGAUGCUAGCGAACGCCUACUGUAUGCUAGUGAAUGCCUAGUGGACGCUAGUUCUUCAGAAGCCUUGUAUAAGGGUACGCUGUCCACUCUCCUGCAAGUGUCCACACAUCCGCUCUCUGGGUCUCCCCCAGCCUGGACCGUCCAGCUUUGAGAUCUAGAGAAAGAAAUCUCUG